rnacentral:lncRNA from 1 species
AAAAAAAAAACUUAAGUUCGUCCAUUAAUGUUAUAAGAAUCAGAUAGGAUUGACACAUGUUCAACCCUGAUUCGAUCCUAAGGCAAUGAUAUUUGCUCCUCUGAUUUCUAGGUUAACUGAGUCGCUGUUUGAUAUAUGACCAGGAGCCAGGUGCCGUUAAUUACCAACGGAGGGCUGCCUAGACAAUAUAUAAUUCUGAAAAACCACUACAACUUUUAACAGAAUUUCAUGGAAGAGUUUUGCUAGAGGCCCGGGAUUUCCGAGGGGGACACAUGUGGUCCGGGACAAGAGGAAUUGUCCUUCAUGGAAUUAUUGGACGUGACAAGUACAGGACAUCAAUGAAUCGAAUUUUUUUACUUUAUUUCCAAAUUAAGUAGUUUUCUUGUGCCAUAUGUGCCACGACAGCUCGUACAUUAAUGCAUGAACCAACAAAUUAUUUGGAAAUAUGAACAUAAAUAAAGUUCCCUAAUUAUGAAAAAAAAAAAAAUAGAAAUGGCACCCUUUUUGCCUUGGAACGAGGUUCAAAGAUAAGAGCCAUGAUUUGAGGCGUCGAGAUCGGGUAAUAUGACAUAAAAAAAAAAAAAAAAAUGCUAUUCGUUAUUCUAAUCAUUGGAGUAAUUUUUCUAAGUGGCAUACGUAUAGUAAGUGAUUCUUUGAUGCAUAAAUAUGAUAAUUUUUUAUUGACAUGUAUAUCAAAUAACCAUCUGCAUAUAUGACGAUUGCCAUAGUGAGGGACUACAAAUAACAUAAAAUAUCUAAUUAAGAUAUGCCAAAACGAAAAAAAAUAUAAGGAAAUUCAGGAGACAAAAAUAAUAAAAAAUAAAAGUGUUUUAUGGUUAUCUUGACCCACCAAUAUCUGAAUUAUUCAUUUUACAUGAAAAGUUAUUGACUUUAAAACAUGGAAUGUUUGCACUUCAUAUCAAGGAUGUAUUGGAGUAAUGUGUCUAAUCCGGGUGUUCAAUCACAGAGCCUUUUGAUUUUCAUUUUUAAUCAUAUAUUAUGAAAUCCAAAACUUUUAUCAAUUUUUAUCAAAAUUUAUUAAAAAUAUAAUUUUUAUCCCAAUUGCCAAAGCACAAUUUGCAAGAAAAACAUGAAAGUUUGGACGAUAAAGAAAAGGGAGUUUUAGCUAACGGUGGUUCACUUGAAAUUUUUGUUUGUAAUGAAAAGUAUACAUGACUUUCUGUUCUGAUUUUGAGUUGAAAAUGUGAGAUGUCUUCUUCAAUGAUGUUACCAAAGUUCCAGUCCAAUAUGCGAAGAUUAAUUAAACUACAUUGCCAGAAUUCGUUUGACAUAAUGAUUGAUACUCUCACAACUCGUAGGCACUGCGUGAAUAAAAAAAUCCAAAAAAGAAGUGGGUCCCUUGCACAAUUUGAGUGUCAGUCAUUUAUUAUGUCAAAAAAAUUCUAUCACCAUAGCAUGGUUGAUGCAUAGAUACAGGUAUAGUACAACUUGCGAGAAAAAUGGAAACUGUUGAUAGCAUAUUGAUUUCAAAUAAAAUGAAUAUAACAAAAAUAAAUAAAUAAAUAAAAGCCCUAACUUCUAAAUGAUGAUAAAAAAAAUUUUUCUCUCAUCUCUUUACUUAGGGCUUUCUGCUCUUAAACUGACUAUUCUACAACUCAAUAAAGAGAUAGAAGAGAAAUGACUAUUUUAAGGAAAGCUCAUCAUAGCAUUCUUUAUCCUAGACAUGCCUAUUUAUAGAUAUCUAUUUGGCUUUGAAGAUAAAUGAAUCUUUUUAUCCUAGUUGCACCUAUUUAUAGAUAUCCAUUGAUUAACGACUUCUAAUUGAUUUUAUCAUCUCCUCACAUAUUAUUCACCAACUUAAACAUUACGUUUUUGUUCAGGUAUAUUGGCUCACAAUAUGCAUUUGAAGUCGCUUAUUAGGUUUCUCCCUUUUGAGUGCUUUUAGCUAAGUUAUUAGAAUGAUAUCUGCUUCGUUCACUGGAGAUUGAUAUACCUUUUGAAUCCAUUAUUACAUAAUUUGUGGCUUUUGUAUAAGUAAAGAGAAAGUAAACACUAUGAAGCAAACAUCUAAAAGAAGAAGAAAAUGUUUUGAGCAAAGAAAAAAUAAAACCCUCUUCAUAAUAAAAAAAAUAAUAAAAAAAUGGCAGUCACUUGACUCCAACACACUCCACCUACAUUCCGCCAGUGCUCGUAAACAAAUAUUGGCGAACUCAUAUUCCUACGAACCUUUUUUAAGUAAUUAAAAUGUAUGCGAACCUUAAGAUGCAAAUAAGAACAUUCGCAAUAACUCACAAAUGACAAACUGUUAAUCCAUUACACCUCAACAAAAAUCGUUAUCAAAACACACGUGAAUGGAAGUGCAAAACAUAACUCAUAACCAAUAAAUGAAAGACACGUAAGCAGGCUAGCAAAGCAUGAACUAAUAACGAAAACAGUUAGAAAUUAAUCAAUCAAUGGCUACCACGUGUCUACGACUCUAAAGACUUUUUUAUUCCUAAAACCCUUAAUAGAAAUCUAUAAAUGGUGUGCUUGUGAUGAAGAAUGACAUGUUGAAAUUGAAAUGUCUUCCUCUCAAAUAGCCGUUUCUCUUCACACUCUCCAUCAAGUAGCAGCAUAGUGAGUUUAGGAGAGGAACCCUGAGUGAAAUUUAUUGAUCAUCUUCUUCCCUCUUAUCCCUCACGACUUUUUGUCGUGUUUUCUGGGAUUCAAACCCAAUAUCUUGGUACUAGAGUUUAGCUUAAAUCUUUCAUACGUAGAAUUGAAGGGCUUAGACCCAUCUUGCCCGUCACGAAUUUUUGUUGUGUCCACAGGGUUUAAACCCAUAACCUUUUUUUAACAGAUAUUUAAAUUGAAUCCUGAUACCAAUUAGGUAAAUUGUUCCAGGAUUUAACUUAAAUCUAGGGAUGGUAAUUCAAGCUGUCAAAAUCGAAAAUCACGG